rnacentral:rRNA from 1 species
UAACUCCGCCCGGCGACCGGCGCACGGUGCGUAACGCGUAUGCAACCUACCUUUAACAGGGGGAUAACACUGAGAAAUUGGUACUAAUUCCCCAUAACAUUCGAGAAGGCAUCUUCUUGGGUUAAAAACUCCGGUGGUUAAAGAUGGGCAUGCGUUGUAUUAGCUAGUUGGUGAGGUAACGGCUCACCAAGGCAACGAUACAUAGGGGGACUGAGAGGUUAACCCCCCACAUUGGUACUGAGACACGGCCAA